rnacentral:tRNA from 1 species
GCAGUCGUGGCCGAGUGGUUAAGGCGAUGGACUAUAAAUCCAUUGGGGUCUCCCCGCACAGGUUCGAAUCCUCAGCA